CCCCGCCCCCUCCCGGGAGCCUCCCGGAAGUUGGCGACCCGGAGCCCGGCGCGCAACUCGGCGCUUCCCUGACGGUUCGCGGGGAUCCGUCUCUCAGGAGAGAGGACUUGGCAGGGGGAGAGCAACGUUCAGGAGCGCGGCGCCGGGCGAGGCCUUGGUGACCAUGGCGGGACCGCAGUCUCUGGCGCUGCAGCUGGAGCAGUUGUUGAACCCGCGACCGCGCGAAGCGGAUCCUGAGGCCGAGCCGGAGGAGGCCACUGCUGCCAAAGUGAUUGACAGGUUUGAUGAAGGGGAAGAUGGGGAAGGUGAUUAUCAGGCGGUGGGUAGCAUUCGAAAGCUGGCAUCAGCCUCCCUCUUGGACACAGACAAGAGAUAUUCUGGCAAGACCACGUCUAGAAAAGCUUGGAAGGAAGACCAAUGGGAGCAGCCUCCGUCAGGCUCAUCUGAUAAAGAAAUAUCUGAUGAGGACAGGUCUGCAGAUGGAGAUUCAGAGGACCUGGGCCUGGAGGAGUCUGAUGAGGAAGCCAUGAGUGCUGAGGAUCAGGAGGGCGGGGACGAAGGGGACAGCAGCCUGGCCUGGAAGAAGAGGAGUGGGAGCCACUCACGGACGUCAUCGGGCUUCAGUGUCCAGAGCAUCAGUGACUUUGAAAAAUUUACUGAGGGAAUGGAUGACCUUGGUAGCAGUGAGGAGGAAGAGGACGACGAGGAGGAGAGUGGUUUGGAAGAAGGGGAAGGUGAGGAAGACUUUGAAGAUGUGAGUGAGGAAGACAAGGCCGAAGACAGGGCCAGUGAGGACGACGGGGUGGUGAUGACCUUCUCUGAGGCCAGAGUUUCUGAGGAGGUGGAGAAAGGCCGAGCUGUGAAGAAUCAGAUAGCACUGUGGGACCAGCUCUUGGAAGGAAGGAUAAAGCUGCAAAAGGCUCUGCUGACCACCAAUCAGCUUCCUCAACCAGAUGUUUUCCCUGUCUUCAAGGACAAAGGUGGCCCAGAAUUUGCCAGCGCCCUGAAAAACAGUCACAAGGCACUUAAAGCACUGUUGAGGUCAUUGGUGGAUCUCCAGGAAGAGUUGCUUUUCCAGUACCCAGACACUAGGUAUCUCGUAGAUGGUACAAAACCCAAAGCAGAAAGUGAAGAGGAGAUUUCCAGUGACAAUGAAGAGCUCAUAGAGGAGAAGCAGCAGCCGCAGAGGAGGGGCCCAGCAAAGAGGAAGCUGGAGACGGAAGACUACCCCAGCUUCAUGGCGAAGCGUUUUGCCGACUUCACUGUCUACAGGAACCGCACGCUCCAGAAAUGGCACGAUAAGACCAAGCUGGCUUCCGGAAAACUGGGGAAGGGAUUUGGUGCCUUUGAACGCUCAAUCUUGACUCAGAUCGAUCAUAUUCUGAUGGACAAAGAAAGAUUACUUCGAAGGACACAGACCAAGCGUUCUGUCUACCGAGUUCUUGGCAAACCUGAGCCAGCAGCCCAGCCUGUCCCGGAGAGUCUGCCAGGGCAGCCGGAGAUCCUUCCUGAGGCCCCUGCCAAUGCCCACCUGAAGGACUUGGAUGAAGAAAUCUUUGAUGAUGAUGACUUUUAUCACCAGCUCCUCCGAGAACUCAUAGAACGGAAGACCAGCUCCUUGGACCCCAAUGAUCAGGUGGCCAUGGGAAGGCAGUGGCUUGCAAUCCAGAAGCUAAGAAGCAAAAUCCACAAGAAAGUAGAUAGAAAAGCCAGCAAAGGAAGGAAACUUCGGUUUCAUGUGCUUAGCAAGCUGCUGAGCUUCAUGGCACCUAUUGACCAUACCACAAUGAAUGAUGAUGCCAGCAUCUCUUGGUUUUUCCCCUGUGGUCCCAAAGUGGCUGCUGCAGCUUUCGCCAUCAAGCAUGCAUUUCGGGUAGGAAGAAGAGGAAAGGAGUGGUGUCAGCCACAUUGAUUGAUCUUCUUUUACCAGAACAGUAAAAGCUUCUCAGAAAGACCUCUAAAGACUUCUCACAUCUCGUUGGCUGGAACUCUGUUACGUUGCCACUUCAGUAGAGCAAGACAGAGCUGUAUCGAUCCCUUUUUGGCCAACUCAAUCCCCGUGAUGACGGCCAUGGGGCCUGACGGUGCCCGUCUUUCCAGUUCGAGGCCUGAGACGGGGCCACUGCACACCCUGUCCUGGUGGAGGAA